CUACGGGAGGCACCAGUGGGGAAUAUUGGACAAUGGGGGAAACCCUGAUCCAGCAAUGCCGCGUGUGUGAAGAAGGCCUUAGGGUUGUAAAGCACUUUCAGUAGUGAGGAAAAGUUUAAGGCUAAUACCCUUGAACCCUGACGUUAACUACAGAAGAAGCACCGGCUAACUUCGUGCCAGCAGCCGCGGUAAUACGAAGGGUGCAAGCGUUAAUCGGAUUUACUGGGCGUAAAGCGCGCGUAGGCGGUUUGAUAAGUCGGAUGUGAAAGCCCCGGGCUCAACCUGGGAAUUGCAUUCGAUACUGUCAGGCUAGAGUAUGGUAGAGGGAAGUGGAAUUCCACAUGUAGCGGUGAAAUGCGUAGAUAUGUGGAGGAACACCAGUGGCGAAGGCGACUUCCUGGCCCAAUACUGACGCUGAGGUGCGAAAGCGUGGGGAGCAAACAGGAUUAGAUACCCCUGUAGUC
rnacentral:rRNA from 1 species